rnacentral:lncRNA from 1 species
UUCGAUCAAACUUCAAUUCCCUUGGCCCGACUUUGCUUGCCCAAGUGUUGAGAGGAGGGCACCAAGGUGAGCAAGGAGAAAAUUCGCCCCACCCCAACUUUUUGUAAGAGGAGUGGCUGACCAAGGUAUUUAAGCCCAACUUUUUGAGAAUGAAGCAUUCGGCCACUUUUGUAAAGAUAUGCCCGACUACUUUUUGCAAGGAUAUGCCCGACCACUUUUGC